rnacentral:rRNA from 1 species
GAAAGCCCGCAAGGGUGAGUAAAGUGGCGAAAGGGUGAGUAAUAUAUCGACAACCUGCCUCCGAGAUGGGGAUAACCACCCGAAAGGGUGGGUAAUACCCAAUGGUUCUAAGUUGAAGCAUUCGAUUUAGAUAAACGGUGGGGAUCCUUCGGGACCUGCUGCUCGGAGAGGGGUCGAUGUCCUAUCAGCUAGUUGGUGAGGUAAUGGCUCACCAAGGCGAUGACGGGUAGCCGGACUGAGAGGUUGGCCGGUCACACUGGGACUGAGACACUGCCCAGACUCCUACGGGAGGCUGCAGUCGAGAAUUUUCCGCAAUGGGCGAAAGCCUGACGGAGCGACGCCGCGUGCAGGAUGAAGGCCUUCGGGUUGUAAACUGCUGUCACUUGUUAUGAAUGGCCGGGUGUUAAUACCAUUCGGUCUGACAAAGGCGAGAGAGGAAGUCACGGCUAACUUCGUGCCAGCAGCCGCGGUAAGACGAAGGUGGCAAGCGUUGCUCGGAAUUACUGGGCAUAAAGGGCGCGUAGGUGGCCUUGUAAGUCGGUGGUGAAAUCCUGUGGCUUAACCACAGAACUGCUAUCGAUACUGCUUGGCUCGAGGACGGGAGGGGAGAAUGGAACUCCUGGUGUAGCGGUGAAAUGCGUAGAUAUCAGGAGGAACGCCGGUGGCGAAAGCGAUUCUCUGGACUGUUCCUGACACUGAGGCGCGAAAGCUAGGGGAGCAAACAGGAUUAGAUACCCUGGUAGUCCUAGCUGUAAACGAUGGGCACUAGGUUGCGGGUGCUAUUAUGGCACUC